AACAAACGCUGGCGGCGUGCCUAACACAUGCAAGUCGUACGAGAAAGUUCGCUUCGGCGGGUGAGUAAAGUGGCGCACGGGUGAGUAACGCGUGGAUAAUCUGCCCUUCAGUUGGGAAUAACUCAUCGAAAGGUGGGCUAAUACCGAAUAAUGCUGUUCGACGCAAGUUGAGCAGCCAAAGACGGCCUCUGCUUGCAAGCUGUCGCUGCUGGAUGAGUCCGCGUACCAUUAGCUAGUUGGUAGGGUAAUAGCCUACCAAGGCGACGAUGGUUAGCUGGUCUGAGAGGAUGAUCAGCCACACUGGAACUGAGACACGGUCCAGACUCCUACGGGAGGCUG
rnacentral:rRNA from 1 species